rnacentral:rRNA from 1 species
AUUGAACGCUGGCGGCAGGCUUAACACAUGCAAGUCGAACGAGUGGCAGCCGGGUGUGUUAUGCUUGGGAAUCUCGCUUAUGGAGGGGGCUAACUAUAGGAAACUGUGGCUAAUAUCGCGUCCCAUAGUAUGAGCACAUGUGGGCUGAGGUAGUUGGUGAGGUAAAGGCUCACCAACCCGACGAUCUCUAGCUGGUCUGAGUGGAUGACGCGCCACACUGGUACUGAGACACGGACCAGAAUGCUACGGGAGGCAGCGGUGAGGAAUAUUGCGGAAGUGGCGCAACCAGACGCAGCCAAGGCGCGUGAAUGAAGAAGGCCUUCGGGUUGUGAAGUUCUUUCGGUAGCGAGGCGUUAACUACAGAAGAAGCACCGGCUAACUCCGUGCCAGCAGCCGCGGUAAUUC